AACGAACGCUGGCGGCAUGCCUAACACAUGCAAGUCGAACGAGACCUUCGGGUCUAGUGGCGCACGGGUGCGUAACGCGUGGGAACCUGCCCUUAGGUUCGGAAUAACUCCCCGAAAGGGGUGCUAAUACCGGAUAAUGUCUUCGGACCAAAGAUUUAUCGCCUUUGGAUGGGCCCGCGUUGGAUUAGCUAGUUGGUAGGGUAAAAGCCUACCAAGGCGACGAUCCAUAGCUGGUCUGAGAGGAUGAUCAGCCACACUGGGACUGAGACACGGCCCAGACUCCUACGGGAGGGAGCAGUGGGGAAUAUUGGACAAUGGGCGAAAGCCUGAUCCAGCAAUGCCGCGUGAGUGAUGAAGGCCUUAGGGUUGUAAAGCUCUUUUACCCGGGAUGAUAAUGACAGUACCGGGAGAAUAAGCUCCGGCUAACUACGUG
rnacentral:rRNA from 1 species